rnacentral:lncRNA from 1 species
AAAACGUCAUUUGGCUGAAAUCCCAAACAUUCUAUUUCGAAAUUUACGUGUAGUGGUUUUCUCUUUACAACACUCCCUUCUUGUCAAAAGGCAUAUAAAUACUCUGGAAUUCAGCUGAUCUCAUCAGAGAUUGAAGGAAUUUUUGUGAUAGAAGAUUGCAUUUAUUUUCAUCAAACACUUGGGUCUACUUGUUGCAACACACCAAUAAUGGCUGGCUUGGAUAUUCCUGGGAUUAUUAAGACUUUGGUCAAUGAAAGUGGACAGUUUAAUCUGCAUGGACGAACCAUUGUCUAUAAAGCAGAAGGGAGAGUACACAAGUUUAAAUGGGUCUAUGACGGAACAGCAUGGGAUGUAGCCAGUGGAAUCAGCGUGAAAGAUAGACACUACUCUAGUCGACAUGGAGCAAUCGAGCAUGCUGUCGCGAAGCUUUUACCAGAGUUACAGGCCAAAGGGUUACUUCCAACUUAGUUUGUCGAUUCGAUGAGAUGCUUGGGGAGAAUGAUCAGUCAUAUUGAGUGUGCUUCUGUGAUAGGUGGAUCUUUCGAGCCAAAUCCCUUUACUGACAUCGCAUUAGUCCCUAUAUGGUAUGAAAGUUCAUUUAUGUCAAAGGCUUUAAAGGUUCAAUUAAUAGGGCCUAUAUGGUUACAAUUUGACUUAAAGGGGGUAAUCAAUGCUGAACAGAAUAUGAUAUAUGAUAUAUCAACAGAUUUAGUAAAAACAAAACACUCAUAAUUGCUCAUUUUCAGGUCAAUUUUUCCCCAAAAAAUCAGCUCGCGCUUCGCGCUGACAUUGUUUACCUUACAAAAUAACUAUAGUCUUGUUGGAAAACUAACAUGUACUUAAAGUUAGGUCUUCAAGACUACCGAUCCGCUCUGGUGUACAGAAUUUGGACAUGGAGAUCAUGGAUCCCCCCCCAAAAAAAAAAAAAAAGAAAGAAAAAAGUAAAACGGUUCACGAUCAUGAAAGGAGAAAUGAAAGAAUGGGGAAAAGGGUGAAAUAUGAUUAUAUUUCAAAAUAUCAUGUAGAAAUCUAUCAGCAUGAAAUUAGAUUUUGUAUUAAAAGGGUCCAAUUUUUGCUUGCUCGCAGCUCUCAAUAAAUUUUGUUCUUUAGGCUAUGUCUGGCCCCAUAGAAAAAAAAUUAGACUCAUACUUCCUAACCUUUAAGAAAAGAAAUCCCUCUUAGAGAACAAUAUUUGUGUCAGUCAUUCCCCAACCAGGAAAAUAUGAAGAAGUGAUUUCUUUGUCACUGGACAUUGUUAUUUUGAAUAUCACUAUGAUUGGUUUUGUUAAUUAAUAGUAACUACCAUGUGGCAAUGCUCAAUCAAUAUCAAGGAUUCCAGUUACCAUUGGAUGAGAAAUCUACCAUUAUACCGAUCUUUAAUUCCCUUUGACCAUUUUAUUAUAGUAGCUCAGAAAUAUAUAUAUAUAUAUAUAUAUAUAUUACAAGGUUUUUACGAUUUAUAUACUGUUAUGACUACAUUAACAAUAGUUGAAAGUGUUCAUGAAGGUUAGAAAGAAUUGCUUUAUGAUUUGGAUGGACGGUACGUUUCACUCAAAUGCUCUUCGGUAUUAUGAUAAACAUCUCUACGACACCUGACAACGCUCUAUCGGCGAAAAUUCGUGAACAUUCUCUCAUUACGGUGUUUUUCUCAUUUCAUUUUGAGUUUACGGUUGUCCCAUGGUAUAUUUGUUAUUUAUUUUUGUUAAUUUAUCAUGUGUAUUUUAUAUUGUUGUACAUAACAUACGUGGCAUUUUGUAAAGUCUUUUUUAUGUUUACUGUCAUCGGUAAUAUUUACUUAUGUAAAGUUUCAAUCUGAAGCAAAUAAAUGAGUAAAACUUAAAGUGAU